CCCCCGUAGGCGCAGGCGCCGUUGGGGUGCGCAUCCGGGGACCUGCAGGUUACAAGCAGCAGAUCCCACCUUCAGUCCUGGCUCUGACAAGCCCUCCAGGAACCGAAAUGCUAGAUACAGCGGAAGGAGAAACGGAGGGAGGAAGACAAACCCGGAGCAGGGCGGCGCGGCAGUUUGGACACGCCCCGAGCUCUCCUGGGCUCUCAGUCCCCGUCAGGAUGGGAGGCGCGUGCCGAGGGAGGAGGCUGAGGACACAGCCUCCUUUCGCCCUGCGCUGCCCGGCCUUCCGCGUGACCCCGCCUAUGACCUCGGGGCGUUCCGCCUACGUCUGACCGUCAGGUGCGCACGCGCACUUACAGGCUUGUUUUGCCAGCUUCACGCCACCCGGGAUGGGAGAAAGCAGGUGUCGCGAGAGUUGGGCGCAAGACGCCUUGUAGGGAGUGUAACUAUGGCCGGCCUGCGGAACGAAAGUGAACAGGAGCCGCUCUUAGGCGACACACCUGGAAGCAGAAUGGGACAUUUUAGAGACUGAAGAGCAUUAUAAGAGCCGAUGGAGAUCUAUUAGGAUUUUAUAUCUUACUAUGUUUCUCAGCAGUGUAGGGUUUUCUGUAGUGAUGAUGUCCAUAUGGCCAUAUCUCCAAAAGAUUGAUCCGACAGCUGAUACAAGUUUUUUGGGCUGGGUUAUUGCUUCAUAUAGUCUUGGCCAAAUGGUAGCUUCACCUAUAUUUGGUUUAUGGUCUAAUUAUAGACCAAGAAAAGAGCCUCUUAUUGUCUCCAUCUUGAUUUCCGUGGCAGCCAACUGCCUCUAUGCAUAUCUCCACAUCCCAGCUUCUCAUAAUAAAUACUACAUGCUGGUUGCUCGUGGAUUGUUGGGAAUUGGAGCAGGAAAUGUAGCAGUUGUUAGAUCAUAUACUGCUGGUGCUACUUCCCUUCAGGAAAGAACAAGUUCCAUGGCAAACAUAAGCAUGUGUCAAGCAUUAGGUUUUAUUCUAGGUCCAGUUUUUCAGACUUGUUUUACAUUCCUUGGAGAAAAAGGUGUGACAUGGGAUGUGAUUAAACUGCAGAUAAACAUGUAUACAACACCAGUUUUACUUAGCGCCUUCCUGGGAAUUUUAAAUAUUAUUCUGAUCCUUGCCAUACUAAGAGAACAUCGUGUGGAUGACUCAGGAAGACAGUGUAAAAGUAUUAAUUUUGAAGAAGCAAGUACAGAUGAAGCUCAGGUUCCCCAAGGAAAUAUUGACCAGGUUGCUGUUGUGGCCAUCAAUGUUCUGUUUUUUGUGACUCUAUUUAUCUUUGCCCUUUUUGAAACCAUCAUUACUCCAUUAACAAUGGAUAUGUAUGCCUGGACUCAAGAACAAGCUGUGUUAUAUAAUGGCAUAAUACUUGCUGCUCUUGGGGUUGAAGCCGUUGUUAUUUUCUUAGGAGUUAAGUUGCUUUCCAAAAAAUUUGCACAAUAAUUCAAUCCCUAAUACCACAUUUGGGGAAAUUAUUAUUGGUCUUUGGAAGUCUCCAAUGGAAGAUGACAAUGAAAGACCAACUGGUUGCUCGAUUGAACAAGCCUGGUGCCUCUACACCCCGGUGAUUCAUCUGGCCCAGUUCCUUACAUCAGCUGUGCUAAUAGGAUUAGGCUAUCCAGUCUGCAAUCUUAUGUCCUAUACUCUAUAUUCAAAAAUUCUAGGACCAAAACCUCAGGGUGUAUACAUGGGCUGGUUAACAGCAUCUGGAAGUGGAGCCCGGAUUCUUGGGCCUAUGUUCAUCAGCCAAGUGUAUGCUCACUGGGGACCACGAUGGGCAUUCAGCCUGGUGUGUGGAAUAAUAGUGCUCACCAUCACCCUCCUGGGAGUGGUUUACAAAAGACUCAUUGCUCUUUCUGUAAGAUAUGGGAGGAUUCAGGAAUAAACUAGCUAAGACUGUGAUGGAAACUACUUGCUGUGUGGCACUUCCUGGUCUAAAGCUCUGCUAGACAAUUGCGGUGAGCCAGUCUCCAAGAAUCAGACUACAGAUAUUGCAGAUUUUGAAGAACAAGAACAUAUGUUGAAUAACAGAGAGAAUUCUACAUGUCAUUGUGAAUAGUAGGUUAUAUAAAAACAUACUAGAUGAUAAUUUCCUUACCUCAGAAAUGAAAUAUUAUUCUUAUAAUACCUUUUUGUGGUUGCAUGAACUAAUGAGUGAAUGGACAAUGAUGAAUAAAUGUGAAGCUGUAUUCUUAAUACCCACUGCAGAAGUGUCAUUAAAAUAAUAUACAGUGGAACCAGAAAGAGGGUUCUGUAAGAAUUAGCCAUAGCAGAACAAAAUUAUAGAAUUUUAAAUACCUCUACCCAAGUAGAGGUAUUUUUAUUCAGACACCUACUUUUUAUUUAUAAAAAAAUGCAUUUUCUAUUAUCAAGUUCACUUAUGAAAUAAAAAUUAUAACACAUAUUUUCCAUUUAGCGUGCCUAACAUCCUACCUUGCCUUCUAUGAGUCUUUCUUCUAAUACUACACCUCUGCCUUAUUUUAGUUCAGGGUUUCACUAAGUAACCCCUACAUUAAUAAAUGAGUAUGGAUAAUGCUAAUAUUUGAGCAAUACAGAGGAUUAAGAGAUCAAGAUACUUCACUGCCUAUUAGCCUAAUAGGGAUACCUACUUUCUUUCAAAUGCCAAAAAUUCACAUUAGAAACAUAAUCCAGAUAUGUGUUAUUUUAUAUAUAUAUAUACAAAACAGUAAAUGGUUUCUUAAAAUUAUUGCUAUUUUUCAACCCCCUUAAACUGGAGAAAAACAUUUAAUUAGUAAAACAUUAAUUAAUUUACUUUAAUUUUUCCCAUCUCUCAGUAGUGGCGGGGAGGAACACAACAGUUUUCAAUCUAUGUCUGCAUAGUUGUGUAGAGCUGCAGAAUUUUAGUUGGAUUUUUAAUUUGGAUGAUCCCUGACAGCCCCAAACUAGUCAGGCUAAUAAGUAUUUGAGGCAAAAUGGCUUUAAUCUAACAAUUUACUGAGUUUACCUGAAGUUGGCUAAAUAACACUGUAUGUUUAACUUCUACCUCUACAUAAGUUGAAUGCUGAUAAAAGGAACUAGUAGAUAACUAUGUAUAUUGAUAAGCACUGUUAAGAAAAUGCAAAAAUAUUUCUAAACACUUUUCCAAAUGUUUUCUACUUUAAGUUAGAAAUAGUUUCAAAUCUGAGAAUAAACACUAUAUAAUCUGCACUUUAUAGGUUGGGUGCAGUGUCUCAUGCCUGUAAUCCCAGCACUUUGGAAGGCCAAGGCAGGAGGAUUGCUUGAGGCCAGGAAUUCAAGACCAGCCUGGGAAACAAAGUGAGACCCUGUCUUUACAAAAAAUAAAAACAA
rnacentral:lncRNA from 1 species